GUUGUCCCUCAGACGGCGCUGCUGCAGUGCGUCUUCGCACUUACGCGGAGCGGUAAUGUGAGGAAGCCUCCCGCCAAACAGUAGAGGGAGGAGGAGGAGGGGAGAGGCCAGAGAGAGAAGCGGCUUUCGGGAAGGAAAGUGUGAUCUAGGAGGUGGAAUAGUGCUCUCCAAACUUUGACCUGAGGUGUGACUAUUGAAUGACCCUCUAUUUGGAUUUGGAUUACACAAAGUUUAACGUUUUUUGGAAAAAUCCUACCUAGGUAAUGUGUCGUUCUCAAUGCAACAUGUCAGGCAGCUUAUGAUGCCAAUUUGUCCCAUGCCUCGAGGUCUUUAGGAAAACGGUGACUCUGGAGCACAGCCCUGGAUCCCUGAUGGCAGGUGGAUGAAUCUGCUCCCCACCUGGAUGCUGCUAGUCCUUUCUCCAGGCUCCGUGACUGAAAAUGUGCUUUACUUGGCAAAAGCUGUUUCUCCUCAGAACUCUAGAAAUCAGAUCUUGGCCCACCUCUUUCAGGCUGCACAGGAAGUGUUGUACUGACAUCUGCUUCUGGUGAGGCCUCAGGAAGCUUCCACUGGUGGCGGAAGGUGAAGAGAAAGCCAGCAUUUGCAAGAAAAAUCUGAAGUUAAGUUUUGCUUAUGUUUGCAAUCAAACAAGGUUUAGGUCACUUAAGAGGCCUAACUUGUUUUGUCUGCUCAGAGAUUCUUCAGGCCUGGCCUCCACUUUAAUUUACUUGAAGAGCAUCGAAUAUGAAUCUGCAUAAUUUCAGUGAAACUAUAGAGGAAGAAUGGAGGUGGUCAAGGGGUUUGAAGGCACGACUAUUCAUAUGAUUUGGGAGAGGUUGCUGAAUCUCCAGGAGAUACCCUUGUGAGCUUCAGACUGGGGUCUGUGUUUGGGACUGGAAGACCCCAGGACAUUGGAGAGAGGAGCAAAGCCUAGCAUGAGCCCCAGAAGACGCCACCGUGCCGGUGCACCACCUGGGGACUUUGGCUUAUGUGGAUUCUGUUUCAGUAGAUCUGGGUGGGAUCGAGAUCUUUUAUUUCCAACCAACACCCACGUCCCAGGACCUCACUGGAAAGAGGCGGGCGGGCGCGGGGAGCCUUCCUGAGGUUCCUGGUUCUCAAGAGCCGGGUGUAAGGAAGGAAAAUCAAAGAUAGAAUUUAGAUGUAUGUAUUGGAGGGGAAUAUUGGAGGAAGGGGGAGCAGGGGAGCACGCCCAGCCUCCUCUCCUGUCUUUCCCGCCCCCUUGUCUAAACUCAAAACCGAGUCCGGGCGCGCCUUGCAGGGCGCCCGAGCUCUGCAGCGGCGUUGUGGGCUGAACCCAUCCGGCACAAACUGCGGGCCACUGGCCCCUCACACCUGGGAGUUUGCGGCGCUGGCCUGCAGCCCGGGGCCCACGUGGCGGAAGCUUUCCCGGGCGCGCGCUGCGCAGCUCCGCGGGGCCGGGGAGACACCGCUCGGGAGUCCUCCGCUCGGCUGCAGAAUCUUUAUCAGCUGCACUUUACAGCAGCCCCGGGCUAGGACGCCAGGCGGCUGAGGGCCCUAUCCAGGUGCGCCGCCGCACCAUGGAUCACCGCGCCCCGUCCCGCAGUCCCGCCAUGGCCUGGGGAGGCCCGAAGCCCGGGGACAGUGGCCGGCCCAUCUCCGGCUCCGCGGACCCCCGGCUCAGGCGGGAGGGCAGGCGGGUCCCUGCAGGCCCCCAGGGAGCCCGGGAGCCUCUCUCUGGCGUCAUUCAGUCCCGGGGCAACCUGAAGCGCGGUAGAUAUUGGAGAGGGGGCGUCUGUGGGGGGGACCUGGCGUCAUUACUGAUGGCUAGCAGGGAGGAGGGAACGGGUUGUCACCUCGGCCUCAUAAGGCCGUCAGUGAGUAGCCCAGGGCCUCUUCAGGCAUUUUUGAAACUGGAUUAACUAGGGGGGAAAUUGUAGCACUGAAGCCACCGUGACUGUCUUUUGCGCUGUGUGGAAACUCCGGUAAAACUCUUUGGGC